GACGAACGCUGGCGGCGUGCUUAACACAUGCAAGUCGAACGGAAAGGCCCUGCUUUUGUGGGGUGCUUGUGUGGCGAACGGGUGAGUAACACGUGAGUAACCUGCCCUUGACUUUGGGAUAACUUCUGGAAACUGCGGCUAUUACCGGAUAGGAUCUCCUGCUGCACGGUGGGGGUUGGAAAGUUUCGGCGGUUGGGGAUGGUCUCGCGGCUUAUCAGCUUGUUGGUGAGGUAGUUGCUGACCAAGCCUUUGACGGGUAGCCGGCCUGAGAGGGUUACCGGCGACAUUGGGACUGAGAGACGGCGCAGACUCCUACGGGAGGCAGCAGUGGGGAAUAUUGCGCAGUGGGGGGGAGCCUGAGGCGGCAACGCCGCGUGCGGGAUGACGGCCUUCGGGUUGUAAACCGCUUUCGCCUGAGACGAGGCGAGAGUGACGGUAAUGGGUAAAAAAGCACCGGCUAACUACGUG
rnacentral:rRNA from 1 species